rnacentral:rRNA from 1 species
CACGGUAAACGAUGGAUGCCCGCUGUUCGCGAUAGACUGUGAGCGGCCAAGAGAAAUCGUUAAGCAUCCCACCUGGGGAGUACGCCGGCAACGGUGAAACUCAAAGGAAUUGACGGGGGCCCGCACAAGCGGAGGAACAUGUGGUUUAAUUCGAUGAUACGCGAGGAACCUUACCCGGGCUUGAACUGCCAGCGAACGAUACAGAGAUGUUGAGGCCCUUCGGGGCGCUGGUGGAGGUGCUGCAUGGUUGUCGUCAGCUCGUGCCGUGAGGUGUCGGCUUAAGUGCCAUAACGAGCGCAACCCUUUUCAUUAGUUGCCAUCAGGUGAUGCUGGGCACUCUGGUGAUACUGCCACCGUAAGGUGUGAGGAAGGUGGGGAUGACGUCAAAUCAGCACGGCCCUUACGUCCGGGGCUACACACGUGUUACAAUGGGUGGUACAGAGGGCAGGAUGCACGCAAGUGCGUUCAAAUCUUAAAAGCCAUCCUCAGUUCGGAUUGGGGUCUGCAACCCGACC